rnacentral:rRNA from 1 species
UACGGGGGGGGCAAGCGUUGUUCGGAAUUACUGGGCGUAAAGGGCUCGUAGGCGGCCAACUAAGUCAGACGUGAAAUCCCUCGGCUUAACCGGGGAACUGCGUCUGAUACUGGAUGGCUAGAGGUUGGGAGAGGGAUGUGGAAUUCCCGGUGUAGUGGUGAUAUGCGUAGAUAUCGGGAGGAACACCUGUGGCGAAGGCGGCUUUCUGGGCCUUACCUGACGCUGAGACGCGAAAGCGUGGGGAGCGAACCGG